UACGGAGGGUGCAAGCAUUAAUCGGAAUUAUUGGGCGUAAAGGGCGCGUAGGCGGAUCUGUAAGUCAGGUGUGAAAUUCCGAAGCUCAACUUCGGAGCUGCAUUUGAAACUACAAAUCUAGAGGGAUGGCGGAGAAAAUGGAAUUCCACAAGUAGCGGUGAAAUGCGUAGAUAUGUGGAAGAACACCGGUGGCGAAGGCGGUUUUCUAGCUUUCUCCUGACGCUGAGGCGCGAAAGCAAGGGGAGCAAACAGG
rnacentral:rRNA from 1 species